rnacentral:rRNA from 1 species
UACGAAGGGGGCGAGCGUUGUUCGGAAUUACUGGGCGUAAAGGGCGCGCAGGCGGCUCAUCAAGUCAGAUGUGAAAGCCCCGGGCUCAACCUGGGAACUGCAUUUGGGACUGAUGAGCUAGAGUUCGGGAGAGGUGGGUGGAAUUCCCAGUGUAGAGGUGAAAUUCGUAGAUAUUGGGAAGAACCCCGGUGGCGAAGGCGGCUCCCUGGACCGAGACUGACGCUGAGGCGGGAAGGCUUGGGAGCAAACAGG